rnacentral:rRNA from 1 species
AGAGUUUGAUCCUGGCUCAGGACGAACGCUGGCGGCGCGCCUAACACAUGCAAGUCGAACGGAGUCAAGAGGAGCUUGCUUUUCUUGACUUAGUGGCGAACGGGUGAGUAACGCGUGAGUAACCUGCCCUGGAGUGGGGGACAACAGUUGGAAACGACUGCUAAUACCGCAUAAGCCCACGAUCUGGCAUCGGAUUGAGGGAAAAGGAUUUAUUCGCUUCAGGAUGGAUUCGCGUCCAAUUAGCUAGUUGGUGAGGUAACGGCCCACCAAGGCGACGAUUGGUAGCCGGACUGAGAGGUUGAACGGCCACAUUGGGACUGAGACACGGCCCAGACUCCUACGGGAGGCAGCAGUGGGGGAUAUUGCACAAUGGGGGAAACCCUGAUGCAGCGACGCCGCGUGGAGGAAGAAGGUUUUCGGAUUGUAAACUCCUGUCGUUAGGGACGAUAAUGACGGUACCUAACAAGAAAGCACCGGCUAACUACGUGCCAGCAGCCGCGGUAAAACGUAGGGUGCAAGCGUUGUCCGGAAUUACUGGGUGUAAAGGGAGCGCAGGCGGACCGGUAAGUUGGAAGUGAAAACUAUGGGCUUAACCUAUAAAUUGCUUUCAAAACUGCUGGCCUUGAGUAGUGCAGAGGUAGGUGGAAUUCCCGGUGUAGCGGUGGAAUGCGUAGAUAUCGGGAGGAACACCAGUGGCGAAGGCGACCUACUGGGCACCAACUGACGCUGAGGCUCGAAAGCAUGGGUAGCAAACAGGAUUAGAUACCCUGGUAGUCCAUGCCGUAAACGAUGAUUACUAGGUGUUGGAGGAUUGACCCCUUCAGUGCCGCAGUUAACACAAUAAGUAAUCCACCUGGGGAGUACGACCGCAAGGUUGAAACUCAAAGGAAUUGACGGGGGCCCGCACAGGCAGUGGAGUAUGUGGUUUAAUUCGAAGCAACGCGAAGAACCUUACCAGGUCUUGACAUCCAACUAACGAAGUAGAGAUACAUUAGGUGCCCUUCGGGGAAAGUUGAGACAGGUGGUGCAUGGUUGUCGUCAGCUCGUGUCGUGAGAUGUUGGGUUAAGUCCCGCAACGAGCGCAACCCUUGCCAUUAGUUGCUACGCAAGAGCACUCUAAUGGGACCGCUACCGACAAGGUGGAGGAAGGUGGGGACGACGUCAAAUCAUCAUGCCCCUUAUGAUCUGGGCUACACACGUGCUACAAUGGCGUAAACAAAGGGAGGCAAAGCCGCGAGGUGGAGCAAAUCCCAAAAAUAACGUCUCAGUUCGGACUGCAGUCUGCAACUCGACUGCACGAAGCUGGAAUCGCUAGUAAUCGCGAAUCAGAAUGUCGCGGUGAAUACGUUCCCGGGUCUUGCACACACCGCCCGUCA